rnacentral:rRNA from 1 species
CCCGCUGAACUUAAGCAUAUCAAUAAGCGGAGGAAAAGAAAAUAACAAUGAUUUCCCUAGUAACGGCGAGUGAAGAGGAAAGAGCUCAAAGUUGGAACCUGUUUGGCUUAGCUAAACCGGAUUGUAAACUGUAGAAGUGUUUUCCAGACACGCCUGGUAAAAAAGUCCUUUGGAACAGGGCAUCAUAGAGGGUGAGAAUCCCGUCUUUGGCCAGAGCUGUUGUCUUUUGUGAUACAUUUUCAAAGAGUCAGGUUGUUUGGGAAUGCAGCCUAAAUUGGGUGGUAAAUCUCACCUAAAGCUAAAUAUUUGCGAGAGACCGAUAGCGAACAAGUACCGUGAGGGAAAGAUGAAAAGAACUUUGAAAAGAGAGUUAAACAGUAUGUGAAAUUGUUAAAAGGGAACCGUUUGGAGCCAGACUGGCUUAACUGUAAUCAAUCUAGGCUUCGGCCUGGAUGCACUUGCGGUUUAUGCCUGCCAACGACAGUUUUAUUUGGGGGAAAAAAUUAUUAGGAAUGUGGCCAUUCGUGGUGUUAUAGCCUUUUAAAAAAUACCCUGGAUUGGACUGAGGAACGCAGUGGAUGCCUUUAGGCAAGAUUGCUGGGUGCUUUCGCUAAUAAAUGCUAGAAUUUCUGCUUCGGGUGGUGCUAGUGUUUAAAGGUGGAACUCGCUUGGUAUAUUUUUUAUCCGCUUAGGUUGUUGGCUUAAUGACUCUAAAUGACCCGUCUUGAAACACG